rnacentral:lncRNA from 1 species
AAUUUAUGUAUAUGUAGAAAUGAAUACACUAAUAAUUAUUUAGAUUUUAAGCAAAAAUACUCACAUACUUUUAUAGAUACAAACAUAUACCUAUUUUUCAUCUACCUAUCUCUCAGACUUCCAUGUGCUGACUGAAAAUGUUUGCAUCCAGUAAACAUUUUGAUUAGAUAAUUUUUUAAGGAUUGUAGAUAAUGAAGAUGGCUUUAGAUUUUUGAAAGUUUAACGUAGAACUUUAACAUUCAAACCUGGCAUUCUACUCACUCUCUUUUUGGAGCUAAUGGAAUUCAGCAGUUAACAUUUUAUGAAAAUGUAUGAGGAAGUGCCAAGACAAAGAAAGUUGUGUUUAUACAUAAUCCACCCUUGACUUCCACAAAGCUUUGAUAUAAUGGGCAACAUGUAAGACUCCUCCAUAGACUCAGGGGCAAAGAAGUUAAGACUAAAGCCAAAUGGCCAGGCAUAAAAAAGGUAGUGUGUGUGUCUAAGUGGAAGGGAGAUGGGAGAUGUUCUCAAAAGCAGAGAGGGUCUCCAGGAAUAGUUUACUUUUUAAUAAUAAUACCAUAAUGAUCCAAUGGGAGGAAAUAGCAAAGAGGAAGGAGAGUCAAUGAUACUAAACUACAAAAGCUCAGGCCUAAACUCAUGAAAUGCAAAUGUACUUUUUUCCCCCAAAGCACCUGAGGAAUAAAGUCAAAAAAAGAGUUAAGAUCAUGCGUUAGUGGCUGGAACACAUGAGACAGUUUUAUGUAUCUUUGACUUACCACAGCUCUAGGCUUCUAAGCCAUUCUAAGACACUCUUUUUGAAGGGAAACACUACAUUAAAUGUGCACGUUGACUCUAGAACAUAUUCUGGUUGCAGAAAUGUAAAAAUAUGUGUGUUGGGGGUGGGGGUAGUGCAUCUUAAAAUUGAGGAAAUAAGGUAAAUAUUUUCCUCGAACCAUUUAGAAUAAGAGAGAAGUAUUUGGUGAAUAGCCUCAAAUGAUAACAAGGCUUAACAGAGAGCAGAACACUCAGUGAGGUACAAUUAAACAAGCAGUUAAAUAAUCUAACAUACAAGUGCUUAAACAAACAAUCACAGACUGUCCUGUCACUGCUCAGUGUGCAGAGCAUGAGUCAGAAGAAAUUAUUUCAGCGCCAUUGAAAGGAAAAGCCAUGUUGUGCUCAAUUCUGGUUGACUUACUGCAAAUAAGGAUAUUAGAGAAAAUGAGACGUUUAUGGCAGAAGGUAGAUAAAGGUAUUCAGUGACUCAAGGAAAUUAAUUAUAGAGGAAAAAUUAAAAAAACUAGGUGUGCCUGUGAUGACCUCAUUGAGGUAAGCUAGGAUGACAGCUGUUGCAAGGGUGGAUACCCUGAAGGGAUCUGCAUUGAUUACAGCUCUAAAGGAAAGCAUACUAGUCCUCAAGAGAGGCAGGCAUGAGCAAAAUUUAAUUGAUAGCUCUCAUCCAUCCCUUGAUAUUAGUUAAUAUAGGAAAGAAACAGUUCUGAUAAGUGAUUAAGAUGAAUGCAAACAAUCUAAAUAUGGACCUGAUUAAGAAUUCAGACAGAAAAAUAAACUAUUAUGGAGGCACAUCUUUUAACAUUUACUUCAUCUGGACUUUUGCUGACCCUGAAAAAAUUCUUUACUUAAGGAGAGGGGAAAAAAUGUACCCUCUUAUUGUCUAGAACUGGUGUCUGAAUUCAGGCUCUAAGUUGACUUUAUAUCCAACAAAGUUUUAGUAUCAGGCAAGUUUUUUUUUCUUUGUUUAUUCCUGGGAUUAAAAUAGUACACAAACUGACAAAAGUAGUUCAGACACCACAUGUCAGCUGUGACACACCACGCUGUGAUUCUCAUACUCAUCAACCCCUAAAUAACUUUGAGACUAGAACUGUGUGACGUCCCUCAGGUGUCUGCUCCCUCUCUCAUUUUAGUUAUUUGCUUCUAGAGCACAGUGAUUUCAGCUUUCAGUGGAAGAAAACAGAAGGGAAAAAAAAAGUGCCCCAACUUUAUAAAAACCCAGAAUAAACAUGAACAAUAGGUAAGGUAAACACUCAUCUGACUUAAGAGGUUGAUCAAGAUGGCUCUGCGGAAUAUUUUUAUGAUGGUUUGCCAACUGAGAUGGUUUGCCAAACCUUGGCAUUCAAGAGGCAGAUUUAGGCGGUAUUAAAUAAAAGUAUCGGGACAGCCCAGAAUUGACCCAGAAAAUAACUCAGUGAAACACAAAUGCUCUUAAAACCUCACCAUCCUGUGAUUGAGAGUAAGGUCACAUUUAACAGUAAUGGCUGAUAUUCCUGGAGUAAAGAAGGAUUUUCUUAAAACAACAUUACAUAAUCUAGUUCCUAAAAAGUUUAAACCUUUAUAUAACUAAAGGCAAUAUUAACAGAGUUGAAGUGAGUGAAAAAUGAAAAAAUACUAAAAUAUAGUUUAAACCUAAACAAAAAGGUUAUUAUCUUAAUAUAAAAGGCUACUAUCUUCAUCUAUAGAAGUUCUUGCAAAAAAAGAAAAGAUUGAUAAUUGCAGGAAUAAAUGGACUACUGAUAAAAAUAAAACAGCUGUUUAAUUAGCAAUACAAAAGAAAACAUUGAAGUAAUAUGCCCUACCUCUUAUGAAAAUAAAUUGUUAGUACUCUGAACUUGGCAAGAUGCAGAGGGAAUGAGAAACUCUCUUAGAUGAGAGAUGAGAAAUGAGGUUUUAAAUUGGAAACUUUCUGGUGGGUGAUUUGGUAAGGUAAAUAAAAAAAUUUUAAUGUGUAUGUUUUGCUGAGCAAUUCCACUCCAGGGAAUAUAUUCCAAUGAAGGAGUUGGAUAAAUACACAAAGAUUAUGUGUACAUAUGUAAUAAUUUUACAAUAAUAAAAUAAUACAGGAAGGUUGAAAAUAACUGUAAUGUUUAUUAGUAAAGUUUCAUAAAUAAAGCCUGGUAGUUCCAUAAAAUGAAAAACUGUAAAGACAUCAAAAGGAUAAAGUGAUUAUUAUGUAGAGUUUUAAAAAUAUAAGUGUGGUUCAACACUAAGAAAUUGAGUAGUAUAAUUUCCUAUGUUAACAUUAUAAAAGAGUAUAUGAGCAUACAUAUAAAUAUUUGUGAUAGACCCAACAAUGGCCCUCCAAAGGAAAUCCAGGAAAUGUGAACAUGGAGGCAGAGAUUUAAAUGAUGCAGCCAAAAACCAAGGAAUGCCAGCAGCCACCAGAAGCUAGAAGAGGCCAGGAACAGACCUUCCCCUGGGCACUCCAGAGGAAUGCAGCCCUGUCCACACCUUGAUGUCAACACAGUGGAACCACUUCUGGACUUCUGGCCUCCAGGACUUAAAAUGUGAGAAGAGAUAAACUGACAGGAAAACUGUUAAAUAAAGAGGGACUAGGGCUUGAUGAUAUUGGAAAUUCUCAACCUAUCAGACUGCAAAGGACAGAAAAAGUAGUAUAUUCACUGUAAGGAAGGUGUGCUCUGGAGAGAAGGCCCAGGGUGUGGCUGGACAACAUUUUGCUGAAGAGAUUACGUGAGUGGCUCAUGAUUCCUCUCAACUAUCUGCAGAAGUGAAGAAUGGAGAUGGGGUGACCCAGGAAAGAUCUGUGGGAGACCUUCUUGUCUAAUUGUGUGAAUUUUAUGAUAUAUACAG